rnacentral:rRNA from 1 species
GAAUAUUGGACAAUGGGCGCAAGCCUGAUCCAGCAAUACCGCGUGUGUGAAGAAGGCCUGAGGGUUGUAAAGCACUUUCAAUUGGGAGGAAAACCUGUCGGCCAAUACCCGGCAGCUUGACAUUACCUUUAGAAGAAGCACCGGCUAACUCCGUGCCAGCAGCCGCGGUAAUACGGAGGGUGCGAGCGUUAAUCGGAAUUACUGGGCGUAAAGCGUGCGUAGGCGGUUAUUUAAGUCAGAUGUGAAAGCCCCGGGCUUAACCUGGGAACUGCAUUUGAUACUGGGUAACUAGAGUUUAGUAGAGGAGAGUGGAAUUUCAGGUGUAGCGGUGAAAUGCGUAGAGAUCGGAAGGAACACCCAGU